GACGAACGCUGGCGGCGUGCCUAAUACAUGCAAGUCGAACGCUUCACUUCGGUGAAGAGCGGAGAACGGGUGAGUAAUACAUAAGUAACCUGGCAUCUACAGGGGGAUAACUGAUGGAAACGUCAGCUAAGACCGCAUAGGUGUAGAGAUCGCAGGAACUCGAUAUGAAAAGUGCUACGGGACUGGUAGAUGAUGGACUUAUGGCGCAUUAGCUGGUUGGUAGGGUAACGGCCUACCAAGGCGACGAUGCGUAGCCGACCUGAGAGGGUGACCGGCCACACUGGGACUGAGACACGGCCCAGACUCCUACGGGAGGCAGCAGUAGGGAAUUUUCGGCAAUGGGGGAAACCCUGACCGAGCAACGCCGCGUGAAGGAAGAAGUAAUUCGUUAUGUAAACUUCUGUCAUAGAGGAAGAACGGUGGAUAUAGGGAAUGAUAUCCAAGUGACGGUACUCUAUAAGAAAGCCACGGCUAACUACGUGCCAGCAGCCGCCGUAA
rnacentral:rRNA from 1 species